AGCUCGACCUCCACAGCGCGGCUGUGUCUCGCCAGCCUCUACAAUUGCAAGCUCGGGCAUGCUAUACCAUCUCCAAUUUCUAUGGAUCCCACCCGUGCAGAUGUUCCAAAGCAAAAGAUUGGUGUAGAACUAACACCAUGAGCCAACGGGGAGGAUGAGAAUAAUCUUCAACUCCAAGGUACUGAAUCAGUUUGGCCACAAUUUGUAGUGUGUCAAUGGUGGCGAGGACACAGCACGAGCAUAACGCUGCCGGC